rfam:Delta proteobacterium ML8_D scaffold_23, whole genome shotgun sequence.
UUCGAUGUGAGGCGAUUCUGGAGGAAGCCCAAUCCAAAGAUGCGGGGCGACGAAUAGGAAACCCUAUAAGACCUGCUGCAUGGUUGGGACAAGCGGGCACAUGACCGCGAAGUCUUCCAUCUGCAAAAGGGAUGUGCUUUAUAAAUCCUCCACCCUCGCAUGGAAAGUUGCGUGU